rnacentral:rRNA from 1 species
AGUGAACGCUGGCGGUAGGCCUAACACAUGCAAGUCGAACGGCAGCACAGUAAGAGCUUGCUCUUACGGGUGGCGAGUGGCGGACGGGUGAGGAAUACAUCGGAAUCUACUUUUUCGUGGGGGAUAACGUAGGGAAACUUACGCUAAUACCGCAUACGACCUACGGGUGAAAGCAGGUGAUCUUCGGACCUUGCGCGAUUGAAUGAGCCGAUGUCGGAUUAGCUAGUUGGCGGGGUAAAGGCCCACCAAGGCGACGAUCCGUAGCUGGUCUGAGAGGAUGAUCAGCCACACUGGAACUGAGACACGGUCCAGACUCCUGCGGGAAGCAGCAGUGGGGAAUAUUGGACAAUGGGCGCAAGCCUGAUCCAGCCAUACCGCGUGGGUGAAGAAGGCCUUCGGGUGGUAAAGCCCUUUUGUUGGGAAAGAAAAGCAGCAGGUUAAUACCCCGCUGUUCUGACGGUACCCAAAGAAUAAGCACCGGCUAACUUCGUG